UUGCAAAUUUGUAGCCUCCUUAGGAUGGAACUAACUAGAGUUCUUCUCUCUGCAGCUGAGGCUCACUGCCCCCGGUGGGCAGUGAGUUGGUGGGUU
ensembl:misc_RNA